UUUUGGUUGCUGUUUUUACUGCUCUUAAGCUACAUAACCUUCUCACAAGUCCUCCCUUUAAAUAGAGCUCGUCACCAGAUGAAUCCAGAUCCAAACCGCAUCAAAAUCGGACUCCUAUUCGUUGUAGAAUUGAAGAAAGAAACUCAACCAUCGGAUCUGCAUCACAUGGCCCAGAUCAGCACUUAAAAUCAUUCGGAUCAAGCCC
rnacentral:lncRNA from 1 species